rnacentral:sRNA from 2 species
UAUACGGGAACGCUGAAUCCCUAGGGGAGCGGGGGAACCAAACUUUGGGGUGAAUCCUGUAUACCUUACGGGUACAGGUAGGGUUAGCUUUCGACCCGAACCCGUCAGCUAACCUCGUAAGCGUGGAAGGCGCGAAAGG